UAUAGAUUAUUCUCGCCGUGAGAAGCCGUUGAUUCAGUUUUGGGAUGAGCCGAAGGUCGUAAAGAGACAAAAAGUCAAAUUUGGAGAAGGGGAUAUUAUCGACCACCUGAUGAGCGAAGUAGAAUAUGUAAUGCACAUACCAACCCAUGCUAGACCUGAAGAUAAAACAACAACCAAUCAGAUACUACUUCGGUUACAAAUUAUGGAUAACAACUUAACAAAUAAAGCACACAAUGACGAGUUCGUCUAUUUCAGGCCUUUAAAAGAUGGUCUGACAGACACUCAAGUUGUGAUGAAAGAAAUAUUAAAAAACCAACGGCGUAUAAUGAUGGCUUUGGAGGUAAAAUCCUAUUACACAUUAUUGCACCUUACUACAUUGCCUACUACAUGAGCCUUCAGGCAUCACAUAUUCUCCAUGCAGGAUAACAGGUUCAUUUUGCAAGAAAGUUCAGAUGAAGAAGUUAAGGUAUAGUUAAGGUUAAAUUUUGCUUACUUCAAACUUAUGCAACAUUUACAAACUGAUUCUUUCCUGGUGCAGAAGUCCAACUGCAGGGUGGGAGACAAGUGCACAUGGCACAAGGGACCUAACGCAGCAAAUCUCGAUGACGACACGGAUGCAUCUACGGAUGAUGAUAUCAACUCUACCGACGAAGGAGAGAACACAAUCGCAAAGAGACUACGAGGACCUUCAAGCAGGAAGCCAAAAUCAGCUUACAAUAAAGAAGCAUCAUUUGUGUAUUAUGAACACGACAAGCAACAACUACUAUUAAGAAUCUGCCAAAG